UUGGAGAUCCCAAUUUGUUUGCCAUCCCUGAUGACAUCUCACCCAGGACUUAAGCCCUAGCCUCAGAUGGAUGACUUUUACAAGGGCAUCUCUUCGGCAACUGCAAGGAAAUUAAUUCUUCUGCUCUGUCAGGAUUCCUCAGCAUUUUGGAAGCAUGGACCAUAAUUCUUUUCUAGGUUGAGCUAAUCCACAUCUCUAGCACGAUUCCAUCCGCAAACAACUGUGAAAUCAGAAAUCUUCCAGCUGUUGAUCCCAUAAGUCUAGUGAAAAGAUAACAUAUUGCAUUAUUGGCUCUGAUCAUUUCUGUUGUUGUUCACUCAGUAAAAAUCUGAGAAUCUU